AAUUCUGCAGAAGGCAUCAAGGGUUAUAAAAAAAGUCUAUGCAAGGAGCUCAGGAAGUAGGGAAGUCUGCGACAAUAGAUAAUGGACUUGGGAUGCAUACCAUGUCAGAUAGUACACAAAGGAAAUGAAUCGCUGUAGUUCAAGGGUCACAAACUAAGGGAAAGCAAUGGUGGGAGAGAAUGAUCUACUAAUUGUGGGACCAGGUGUUCUUGGUUGCUUGGUGGUUGAAAAAUGGAGGGAGCAGGGAGAUCCCAUUCUGGAGAUAAAGAAGAACACAAAAGAUCAAAGCUGCUACUGGAUUUUUUGAGCUUCUCUACUUCUAGCUUUUCAUCUAUGGCCAGAUACUCAGUUGUGACUGAUAAGGUCUCAAUGGAGGUUGUUAAAGAAUUCAUUCUAGAACGGUUGAAUCUGACAAAAGGCAUAAUAUCUAAAAUUAAGCACAUUCAUUUGACAGGAUAAUUUGGAAACCCUAUUGCAAGAGGACAUUCAGGCUGAUCUAGUCUGUUGCUUGCAGCAUUUGCAGUUAAGAUUUGAAACUGAAGACAAAGCAAGAAGACUUCUAAGUAAUGUGUCAUUUUUGUUGAAACCAGGGGGUUAUUUUUUCGGUAUUACUCCUGAAAAAGUGAUUGCCCAAAACUAUUGUUUCUAGAUUUGUGUAUUUUUCUUCUUUUUUUCUUGUGGUUACUGUUGCACUUGUUUCUGGGAGGUGAUUGUGUAAACAUUUAAUGUACUUUUAGCGGUGUUUGUGAUAAAAGUCCGCUAAAGAUCAUGUUCUUUAGCGGUGUUUGUGGGUAAAUCGCCGCUAAAGGUCAUUUUUUUAGCGGCGUUCUUGGGUAAAGCACCGCUAAGGGUCAUGUUCUUUAGCGGCGUUUUUUGGUAAAGCACCGCUAAAGGUCUUGUUCUUUAGCGACAUUUGUGGGUAAAGCGUCGCUUAAGGUCAUGUUCUUUAGCGGCGUUUAUGGGUAAAGCGUCGCUUAAGGUCAUGUUUUUUAGUGGCGUUUGUGGGUAAAGCGUCGCUUAAGGUCAUGUUCUUUAGCGGCGUUUGUGGGUAAAGCGCCGCUAAAAGGUCAUGUUCUUUAGCGGCAUUUUUGGGUAAAGCGCCGCUAAAUGUCAUGUUCUUUAGUGGCGUUUCUGGGUAAAGCGCCACUAAAGAUCAUGUUCUUUAGCGGCAUUUUUUUACAUAAACGCCGCAAAAGUUAACGACGUUGUCAAUAGUGGCAUUUUUUGCGGCGCUAGUGAAAGCUCGCUAAAGGCCUAAAAAACGUCGCUAAAAGCUUGUUUUGGAUAUAUAAAUUUUGAAUACUUUUUAAAUAAUUAAUAUAAAUUAUUUGUAUGAUUUAAA